UACAGAGGUCUCAACCGUUGUUCGGAUUCAUUGGGCGUAAAGGGUGCGUAGGCGGUCGCGCAAGUCGGAUGUGAAAUCUCAGGCUCAACCCUGAACUGCAUUCGAUACUGCGUGGCUAGAGUGCUGGAGAGGAGACUGGAAUUUACGGUGUAGCAGUGAAAUGCGUAGAUAUCGUAAGGAAGACCAGUGGCGAAGGCGAGUCUCUGGACAGCAACUGACGCUGAGGCACGAAAGCUAGGGGAGCGAACGGG
rnacentral:rRNA from 1 species